rnacentral:rRNA from 1 species
AGGGUUUGAUCAUGGCUCAGCGCGAACGCUGGCGGCAUGCCUAAAGCAUGCAAGUCGAACGAGAAUUCACCCGCAAGGGUGAUAGUAAAGUGGCGGACGGGCGAGUAAUACUUUUCUAACGUACCCCAAGGCGGGGGAUAGCUCGGGGAAACCCGAGGUAAUACCCCAUAACCCCAUCUUGUCGCAUGGCGAGGUGGGCAAAGGCUUGCUUCCUUGGGAUCGGGAAAAGCACUAUCAGGUAGUUGGUGAGGUAACGGCUCACCAAGCCUAAGACGGUUACCGGGUGUGAGAGCAUGACCCGGCGCAUCGGGACUGAGACACUGCCCGGACUCCUACGGGAGGCUGCAGCAAGGAAUCUUCCGCAAUGGGCGCAAGCCUGACGGAGCAAUGCCGCGUGUGGGAUUAAGUUCUUCGGAAUGUAAACCACUGUCAGGGUUUAACAAGAAAGUGAGUAAACCCAAAGGAAGGGCCGGCUAACUCUGUGCCAGCAGCCGCGGUAAUACAGAGGGCCCGAGCGUUGCGCGGAAUCACUGGGCUUAAAGGGUGCGUAGGCGGAAACUUAAGUGUCUCGUGAAAUCCCACGGCUUAACCGUGGAACUGCGGGGCAUACUGGGUUUCUUGAGGCUGGUAGGCGCUGCCGGAACUGUAGGUGUAGCGGUGAAAUGCGUAGAUAUCUACAGGAACGCCGAUGGUGAAGACGGGCAGCUGGGCCAGUUCUGACGCUGAGGCACGAAGGCGUGGGGAUCAAACAGGAUUAGAUACCCUGGUAGUCCACGCCGUAAACAAUGUGCACUAGACCUUGGAGGCUCUGACGCCGACAGGGUC